rnacentral:lncRNA from 1 species
GUUAACUUUCAUUUUCAUUUGAAGUUUAUAAGUGAAUUCUUUCCAAGUCUUGCCUAUCCUUGUGCACACUCCUUUCUAUUCAGAAAAGAAGGAGUAUUUACUGUACAAUAGCACCUAGAUUUAGUAUCUUCUUGGAUAGAUGUCUCACUUUAUCACUCUGCCAUAUGUGAAUGUCUCAUGUCUUUACUGUUCACAUCGCUCCAGUGUGUUCUAUAGUCUAUCUCAGAUAUUUUAUCAUAGUUAUAGAAAACAGACUAAUGCAAAGGUUGAAUGUAUACUAUCAUGUGAUUCAACUCUCCCACUCCUAGGUAUUUACCCAAAAGAAAUAAUAACAUUUGUCUGUAGAAAUACUUGAACAUAAAUCUUUAUAGCAGCUUUACUUAAAAUAGGCAACAACUUGAAACAACCCAAAAGUUCAUUAGUAGGUAAAUGAACAAACAAACUCUGAUAUAGAUACAAUGGAAUAAUAUCCAGCAAUAAAAAGGAAUAGCCUAUUGAUGAAUACUACAACAUGGAUGAAUUUCAAAAUAAGUAUGUUCUGCCAAAGAAGUCAGAAAAGUUACAUACCAUAUGAUUCUAAGAGUCUAGGAAAUAUAAAGGUAUUUAUAAUGACACAAAGGUGUUGGUUGCAGAAGCACUGGCAUAGGUUCAGGGGAAAAUGUGGGGCACAGAUUGCAGUGAGAACACUGUGAGGAAACUUUGAAGGUGAUAUAUUCAUUAUCCUGAUUGUGGUGUAUUUUUUUUUGACCUGCAUUUCACAGGUACAUACACAUCAUCAAUUUCCAUACUUCAAAUAUGUACAUUUUACUUUGUUGAUUAUACUUUAAUACAACUGUUGUAGACAUAAAAAAAUAAUUGUAAAAGCCAAUGUUUUUAAAAUUUGUAUGAACAUUGUUAUAAC